UACCUUUGCGGCGUUUUUGGUGAGAUAAUAGCAUUUCAAGCUAAUUGUUUUAAAAGGGAAUCCGGUGAGAAUCCGGAACAGUACCCGCUACUGUAAACACCUUAUGAGAGGAAUAUUCUAUUCGCAUACCACUAUCGCAAGAUGGGAAGGUUUUAUUUCUCAGGUGAAGUCAGGAAACCUGCCAAAAGUAAGCUGUUAGA
rnacentral:ncRNA from 2 species